rnacentral:sRNA from 1 species
AACUUGAUAGCCCAGAAGAGUUAGGGAAAAAGCGUAUCUGCAGGAUUAUCACGAAAGAUUUCCCCCAGUAUUUUGCAGUGGUUUCCCGGAUUAAGCAGGAAAGCAACCAGAUUGGUCCUGAAGGUGGAAUUCUGAGCAGCACCACAGUGCCCCUUGUUCAAGCAUCUUUCCCAGAGGGUGCCCUAACUAAAAGAAUUCGAGUGGGCCUCCAGGCCCAGCCUGUUCCAGAUGAAAUUGUGAAAAAGAUCCUUGGAAACAAAGCAACUUUUAGCCCAAUUGUCACUGUGGAACCAAGAAGACGGAAAUUCCAUAAACCAAUCACAAUGACCAUUCCGGUGCCCCCGCCCUCAGGAGAAGGUGUAUCCAAUGGAUACAAAGGGGACACUACACCCAAUCUGCGUCUUCUCUGUAGCAUUACAGGUUUGGUUAAGUCACUGCUGUACUUCCUAUUGAUUCACAAAGAUUGUGUACAAAGACAUAAAACCUUUGAAAGAUCCAUGCCAACAUUAUAAGAGAAAAUAAAAUAACAAAACAUU